rnacentral:rRNA from 1 species
UAAUACGAAGGGACCUAGCGUAGUUCGGAAUUACUGGGCGUAAAGCGCGCGUAGGCCGUUGAGUUAGUUAAUUGUGAAAUCCCAAAGCUUAACUUUGGAACUGCAAUUAAACUGCUCGACUAGAGUUUGAUAGAGGAAAGCGGAAUACAUAGUGUAGAGGUGAAAUUCGUAGAUAUUAUGUAGAACACCAGUUGCGAAGGCGGCUUUCUGGAUCAACACUGACGCUGAGGCGCGAAAGUAUGGGUAGCAAAGAGGAUUAGAUACCCUCGUAGUCCAUACCAUAAACGAUGAUUGCUAGAUGUUGGAAAUUUAUUUUCAGUAUCGCAGCUAACGCAUUAAGCAAUCCGCCUGGGGAGUACGACCGCAAGGUUAAAACUCAAAGGAAUUGACGGGGACCCGCGCAAGCGGUGGAUGAUGUGGUUUAAUUCGAUGCAACGCGAAAAACCUUACCCACCUUUGACAUGUACGGAAGGAUCCAGAGAUGGAUUUGUGCUCGAAAGAGAACCGUAACACA